rnacentral:rRNA from 1 species
UUCCGGUUGAUCCUGCCGGACCCUACUGCUAUCGGGGUGGGACUAAGACAUGCGAGUUGAGCGUCUCUAAGCUAUGGUAGAGACGCGGCGUACGGCUCAGUAACACGUGGCUAACCUACCCUUAGGACGGGGACAACCCCGGGAAACUGAGGCUAAUACCCGAUAGGCGAGGAGGCCUGGAAUGGUUCUUAGUCGAAAAGGCGUUGAAACCAUGCUUUUCGACGUCGCCUAAGGAUGGGGCCGCGCCCGAUCAGGUUGUUGGUGGGGUAACGGCUCACCAAGCCUAUAACCGGUACGGGCCGUGAGAGCGGGAGCCCGGAGAUGGGCACUGAGACAAGGGCCCAGGCCCUACGGGGCGCAGCAGUCGCGAAAACUCCGCAAUGCGCGAAAGCGUGACGGGGCUACCCCGAGUGCCGUCCGCUGAGGAUGGCUUUUCUCCGGUGUAAUGAGCCGGGGGAAUAAGGAGAGGGCAAGUCUGGUGUCAGCCGCCGCGGUAAUACCAGCUCUCCGAGUGGUAGGGAUGAUUAUUGGGCUUAAAGCGUCCGUAGCCGGCUUAGCAAGUCUCCUGUUAAAUUCAGCGACCUAAUCGUUGAGCCGCGGGAGAUACUACUAGGCUAGGAGGCGGGAGAGGCCGACGGUAUUCUCGGGGUAGGGGUGAAAUCCUAUAAUCCCGGGAGGACCACCAGUGGCGAAGGCUGUCGGCUAGAACGCGCUCGACGGUGAGGGACGAAAGCUGGGGGAGCGAACCGGAUUAGAUACCCGGGUAGUCCCAGCUGUAAACGAUGCGGGCUAGGUGUUGGGGUGGCUACGAGCCACUUCAGUGCCGCAGGGAAGCCAUUAAGCCCGCCGCCUGGGGAGUACGGCCGCAAGGCUGAAACUUAAAGGAAUUGGCGGGGGAGCACCACAAGGCGUGAAGCUUGCGGUUCAAUUGG